rnacentral:rRNA from 1 species
GACAGAGGGGGCAAGCGUUGCUCGGAAUUACUGGGCGUAAAGGGCGCGUAGGCGGCCUUCUAAGUCGAACGUGAAAUCCCCGGGCUCAACCCGGGAACUGCGUCCGAUACUGGAAGGCUUGAAUCCGGGAGAGGGAUGCGGAAUUCCAGGUGUAGCGGUGAAAUGCGUAGAUAUCUGGAGGAACACCGGUGGCGAAGGCGGCAUCCUGGACCGGCAUUGACGCUGAGGCGCGAAAGCCAGGGGAGCAAACGGG